UUUUCAUGAAUUUUUUGUAUAUAGUUUUUUUGUCGAUUUUUUUUGUUUGCGUUUUCUUUUGUGUAUCUGUCUGAAGUGCAGUGUACCUAAAGUAUGUGUCACAAAUAAAGAUGAAUUCGUUUCGUUUACUUUAAUUUUGAUUUUAAUUUUUAUUGUAACUACAAUGGAGCAAUGGUUACAAUUUUAGCUCGACUACCUUAACCUUACAAAAGAUCACGAGAGUCUACCUAUGGUGAGUGACACAACUAAAGCUAGGUA
rnacentral:misc_RNA from 1 species